UAGGGUAUAGCUUAGUCUGUAGAGUGCUUGUUUCAUGUGCAUGAGGUCCUGGGUUCAAUCCCCAGUACCCCCA
rnacentral:tRNA from 1 species